GACAGAGGGGGCAAGCGUUGCUCGGAAUUACUGGGCGUAAAGGGCGCGUAGGCGGGAUGGCAAGUCGGUCGUGAAAUCCCUCGGCUCAACUGAGGAUCGUCGAUCGAUACUGCCGUUCUUGAGGAUUGCAGAGGAGACUGGAAUUCCCGGUGUAGCGGUGAAAUGUGUAGAGAUCGGGAGGAACACCGGUGGCGAAGGCGGGUCUCUGGACCGACAUUGACGCUGAGGAGCGAAAGCCAGGGGAGCAAACGGG
rnacentral:rRNA from 1 species